UCUUCCGUAGUAUAGUGGUCAGUAUGUGAGCUUGUCAAGCUUGAACAUCAGUUCUUCGAUUUCGCUCGAGACCCGGGUUCAAUUCCCGGCGGGAGAG
rnacentral:tRNA from 1 species